GCCGGGAUAGCUCAGUUGGUAGAGCGACUGAUUUGUAAUCAGUUGGUCGCGGGUUCAAAUCCUGUUCCCGGCUCCA
rnacentral:tRNA from 1 species